rnacentral:rRNA from 1 species
AUUGAACGCUGGCGGCAGGCCUAACACAUGCAAGUCGAGCGGAGCGGCGGACGGGUGAGUAAUGACUAGGCAUCGGCCUGGUGGUGGGGGAUAACGGCCGGAAACGGGCGCUAAUACCGCAUGCUAUCAGGUGAGCCUAGGUCGGAUUAGUUGGUUGGUGGGUUAAAGGCCUACCAAGGGGACGAUCCGGAACUGGUCUGAGAGGAUGAUCAGUCACACUGGAACUGAGACACGGUCCAGACUCCUACGGGAGGCAGCAGUGGGGAAUAUUGGACAAUGGGCGAAAGCCUGAUCCAGCCACGCCGCGGGUGUGAAGAAGGUCUUCGGAUUGUAAAGCACUUUAAGUUGGGAGGCGUUACCAACAGAAUAAGCACCGGCUAACUUCGUGCCAGCAGCCGCGGUAAUUC